rnacentral:tRNA from 3 species
GCGCCUGUAGCUCAGUUGGUUAGAGCAUCUCGUUUACACCGAGAGGGUCGGGGGUUCGAGUCCCUCCGGGCGCA